CCAGUGUUUGCAUCUGCUCUCAUUAGUUGCUUGAUGAUAGUCCUCUGAGGAUACUUGGAGUAGGCGCUGAUCUAGUAGUAUAGCAGAUGGCAGAUUAUCAUCAGUAAUCAAUUCAGUGUCUAUUUUGCCAGUUGUAUUUAGUUCUAUCCUGUGUCUCUGGGUUGUCCUGCCUCUGGUUCCUGGUCAUCCAGCCACUGUCAGAUGUGCAAAAGUUGUACUCAUCUUGUCAGGGGCUUGAGAAGAAUAUGUGGGAAGCCCAAGGCAAAUACAAUGAAGACCAACUUCUAGGAAAUUUAAUACUGGUGCCUGGGUGUGAUAAGGAGGCUCAAAGCUUGAAAAUGAGCGCAUUCGUGAGAGCUCUGGAGAAAUGCUUGGAUUUACGUGUCGUCCUUAAGAAAUUUGUCUCGCCCACAUACACCAAACCCCUUGCAACACCCACCCUCACUGCAGCACAGAGAAACAGCCUCGAUGUGGGGUUAUUACAGAAGUAGCC
rnacentral:lncRNA from 1 species